rnacentral:rRNA from 1 species
AGCGUUGCUCGGAAUCACUGGGCGGAAAGGGUGCGUAGGCGGGUCUUUAAGUCAAGGGUGAAAUCCUGGAGCUCAACUCCAGAACUGCCUUUGAUACUGAAGAUCUUGAGUUCGGGAGAGGUGAGUGGAACUGCGAGUGUAGAGGUGAAAUUCGUAGAUAUUCGCAAGAACACCAGUGGCGAAGGCGGCUCACUGGCCCGAUACUGACGCUGAGGCACGAAAGCGUGGGGAGCAAACAGG